rnacentral:lncRNA from 1 species
CUGUCAUCUGAGAUCUGCAAUUGAAUUAAUUCCUGCAAAAAAAAAAUUGAACUGAAUUGGGCAAAGGGGGGAAGCUGUUCUGUCAAAUACCUCAGUGCUGCUACUCCAGCCAUUUGAUUUCAAGCAUCACCUUAGAAAUUUGAAACAUCUAUUUUACAGUAAUUUGUAGAAACUUUGACUUCUGUUUUAGAGAUGAAUAUGGAGGACCACCAUUGAAACACGUCCCGGGCUUGUGUGGUGUCAUGUAUUAUCACUAAGGUCAUCAAAUGAUCCAUUUCAUGUCACAGCAGCCCUGUGUGGUAGGUGCUGUCAUGACCCUGAUUUACAGGUGAGAACACAGAGGCACUGAGAAUGACACAGAUGGGGGCCCAGCGAGGACACAGCCGAGUGGAAUUCGAACACAUCAGUCACUAUGUGGGUCUUAGCACAAAAAUCUGCAUCUAAUUUUCAAUCCCCAUUUAAUAUUUCUGCUAGCUUGAAAAAAAAAAAAGAGACUUUGUGUUAAUGUGAUAAAAAAUGGCUACUGUGACAUUCUGGGGAAUUUUUCUUUCUUUUUUUUUCCCCAUGUUUAACAGCUUUGGAACUUGACUUUCUCAGCACCUUGAAGGAAUCUGUGCCAAGCUGGUUUUGGAAUGAUCGGCUUCUGCCUCUGCUGAUGAAUCAGGCUAAUCACCAAGUGGGGGUAUAAUCUCACUUUUUUGAGUGGUUCACAGACUUUGCUUCCUAAUUUCUACCCUAAUU